rnacentral:rRNA from 1 species
UACGAAGGGUGCGAGCGUUAUUCGGAAUAACUGGGCGUAAAGGGUGCGUAGGCGGUAUUUUAAGUCGACGGUUAAAGACUACAGCUUAACUGUAGAAAGGCCGGCGAUACUGGAGUGCUUGAGGAUAGCAGAGAGGAGUGGAAUUCUCGGAGUAGCGGUAAAAUGCGUAGAUCUCGAGAGGAACACCGAUGGCGAAGGCAGCUCCUUGGGCUAUAUCUGACGCUGAGGCACGAAAGCGUGGGGAGCAAACAGG